CGCGGGGUCGUCCAGCGAGGGCGCGCUGGCCCUGGGCAGCGUGUGGCUGAAGGUCACCAUGUUCUCCUUGGCCAUGGGGCUGCGCGGGGCCAGCAGGUCCACGUCCACGCUGGCGCGCUU
rnacentral:precursor_RNA from 1 species